rnacentral:rRNA from 1 species
AGAGUUUGAUCAUGGCUCAGGACGAACGCUGGCGGCGUGCUUAACACAUGCAAGUCGAACGGUAAGGCCCCUUCGGGGGUACACGAGUGGCGAACGGGUGAGUAACACGUGAGCAACCUGCCCUUGACUCUGGGAUAACAGUUGGAAACAGCUGCUAAUACCGGAUACGACCCUCGAUGACAUCAUCUGGGGUGGAAAGCGCUUAGCGGUCAAGGAUGGGCUCGCGGCCUAUCAGCUUGUUGGUGAGGUAACGGCUCACCAAGGCUUCGACGGGUAGCCGGCCUGAGAGGGCGACCGGCCACACUGGGACUGAGAUACGGCCCAGACUCCUACGGGAGGCAGCAGUGGGGAAUAUUGCACAAUGGGCGCAAGCCUGAUGCAGCAACGCCGCGUGCGGGAUGACGGCCUUCGGGUUGUAAACCGCUUUCAGUUCCGACGAAGCGCAAGUGACGGUAGGAACAGAAGAAGGACCGGCCAACUACGUGCCAGCAGCCGCGGUGAUACGUAGGGUCCGAGCGUUGUCCGGAAUUAUUGGGCGUAAAGGGCUUGUAGGCGGUUUGCUGCGUCGGAAGUGAAAACUCAGGGCUUAACCCUGAGCCUGCUUCCGAUACGGGCAAACUAGAGGGAUGCAGGGGAGAAUGGAAUUCCUGGUGGAGCGGUGGAAUGCGCAGAUAUCAGGAGGAACACCGGUGGCGAAGGCGGUUCUCUGGGCAUUUCCUGACGCUGAGAAGCGAAAGCGUGGGGAGCAAACAGGCUUAGAUACCCUGGUAGUCCACGCCGUAAACGGUGGGCACUAGGUGUGGGGAACAUUCCACGUUCUCCGUGCCGAAGCUAACGCAUUAAGUGCCCCGCCUGGGGAGUACGGCCGCAAGGCUAAAACUCAAAGGAAUUGACAGGGGCCCGCACAAGCGGCGGAGCAUGCGGAUUAAUUCGAUGCAACGCGAG